rnacentral:rRNA from 1 species
AACGAACGCUGGCGGCAGGCUUAACACAUGCAAGUCGAACGCAUCCUUCGGGGUGAGUGGCAGACGGGUGAGUAACGCGUGGGAACGUGCCCUUCAGUUCGGGAUAACCCAGGGAAACUUGGGCUAAUACCGGAUACGUGCGAGAGCAGAAAGAUUUAUCGCUGAAGGAUCGGCCCGCGUCUGAUUAGUUAGUUGGUGGGGUAAUGGCCCACCAAGGCGACGAUCAGUAGCUGGUCUGAGGGGAUGAUCAGCCACAUUGGGACUGAGACACGGCCCAAACUCUUACGGGAGGCAGCAGUGGGGAAUAUUGGACAAUGGGCGCAAGCCUGAUCCAGCCAUGCCGCGUGAGUGAUGAAGGCCUUAGGUUUGUAAAGCUCUUUCGUCCGGGACGAUAAUGACGGUACCGGAAGAAGAAGCCCCGGCUAACUUCGUGCCAGCCGCCGCAGUAA